rnacentral:rRNA from 1 species
ACGCUGGCGGCAGGCCUAACACAUGCAAGUCGAGCGGUAGAGAGAAGCUUGCUUCUCUUGAGAGCGGCGGACGGGUGAGUAAUGCCUAGGAAUCUGCCUGGUAGUGGGGGAUAACGUUCGGAAACGGACGCUAAUACCGCAUACGUCCUACGGGAGAAAGCAGGGGACCUUCGGGCCUUGCGCUAUCAGAUGAGCCUAGGUCGGAUUAGCUAGUUGGUGGGGUAAUGGCUCACCAAGGCGACGAUCCGUAACUGGUCUGAGAGGAUGAUCAGUCACACUGGAACUGAGACACGGUCCAGACUCCUACGGGAGGCAGCAGUGGGGAAUAUUGGACAAUGGGCGAAAGCCUGAUCCAGCCAUGCCGCGUGUGUGAAGAAGGUCUUCGGAUUGUAAAGCACUUUAAGUUGGGAGGAAGGGUUGUAGAUUAAUACUCUGCAAUUUUGACGUUACCGACAGAAUAAGCACCAGCUAACUCUGUGCCAGCAGCCGCGGUAAUACAGAGGGUGCAAGCGUUAAUCGGAAUUACUGGGCGUAAAGCGCGCGUAGGUGGUUUGUUAAGUUGGAUGUGAAAUCCCCGGGCUCAACCUGGGAACUGCAUUCAAAACUGACUGACUAGAGUAUGGUAGAGGGUGGUGGAAUUUCCUGUGUAGCGGUGAAAUGCGUAGAUAUAGGAAGGAACACCAGUGGCGAAGGCGACCACCUGGACUAAUACUGACACUGAGGUGCGAAAGCGUGGGGAGCAAAC